CUGUUGUUUUCUUUCUUCGGUUUGUACUGUAAUAGAUCUUCUCGGUUUAAAUUGUCGACUUUUUUCAAUUGAACUUCAGUGGACGAGUUAUUGUAUCCACGUUUUCUGAGGUGCGUUUUUAUUUCUUCUCUUCUUGUUUUGUAAUUUUCUUCUGUUGAGCAAAUUCUUUUGACACGAAUACCGAGUCCAUAUGGAAUGGCUUUUUGUACAUAAUUUGGAUGGCUUGACGACACAUGUAAGUACUGGUGUUUAUCUGUUGAUUUUGUAUAAAGAUCUGUUUUAAGUUGUCCGUUUUCUAUGUGUACAAACACAUCAAGGAAUUCAUUUUUUUCAGUUGAGUAACGCAUUUCUG
rnacentral:lncRNA from 1 species